UUUAGCCUACAAUAGUGAGUUCAGCUCGCUAGUCUCUCCGGAGGCGACACGCUCAAUGUGCGGAAAGGCCCUCCUCGGAGGGAAAUCCGCAGCUCCCACCCGGGAGUUCAGGGACUCAAUGAACGUGGGCGCUGGCAACAGCGCUUGAGAUAGAGCCCGUCCCGGCUGGCAACUGCCGGGAGUGAACGGAACCUGCGGAAGGAUCAUUA
rnacentral:rRNA from 1 species